rnacentral:rRNA from 1 species
CCCGCUGAACUUAAGCAUAUCAAUAAGCGGAGGAAAAGAAACCAACAGGGAUUGCCCUAGUAACGGCGAGUGAAGCGGCAACAGCUCAAAUUUGAAAUCUGGCUUUCGGGCCCGAGUUGUAAUUUGUAGAGGAAGCUUUUGGCGCGGCGCCUUCUGAGUUCCCUGGAAUGGGACGCCAUAGAGGGUGAGAGCCCCGUAUAGUUGGCAGCCAAGCCUUUGUAAAGAUCCCUCAAUGAGUCGAGUAGUUUGGGAAUGCUGCUCAAAAUGGGAGGUAAAUUUCUUCUAAAGCUAAAUAUUGGCCAGAGACCGAUAGCGCACAAGUAGAGUGAUCGAAAGAUGAAAAGCACUUUGAAAAGAGGGUUAAACAGCACGUGAAAUUGUUGAAAGGGAAGCGCUUAUGACCAGACUUGUGCUUGGUGGUUCCAUCAGUGUUCUCACUGGUGUACUCUGCCUAGUUCAGGCCAGCAUCGGUUCCUGUAGGGGGAUAAAAGCUUUGGGAAUGUGGCUCUCUCGGGAGUGUUAUAGCCUAUUGUAUAAUAUCCUUAUAGGGACCGAGGUUCGCGCAUCUGCAAGGAUGCUGGCGUAAUGGUCAUCAGCGACCCGUCUUGAAACACGG